rnacentral:tRNA from 1 species
UGUGUCUAUAACUCAAUUGGUAGAGUAAUCGGCUUUUAACUGAUAGGUUUUGGGUUCGAAUCCCAAUAGACGCAU